rnacentral:rRNA from 1 species
UACAGAGGCCUCAAGCGUUGUUCGGAUUCAUUGGGCGUAAAGAGCUCGUAGGCGGUUUGUCGCGUCUGCCGUGAAAGUCCGGGGCUCAACUCCGGAUCUGCGGUGGGUACGGGCAGACUAGAGUGAUGUAGGGGAGACUGGAAUUCCUGGUGUAGCGGUGAAAUGCGCAGAUAUCAGGAGGAACACCGAUGGCGAAGGCAGGUCUCUGGGCAUUAACUGACGCUGAGGAGCGAAAGCAUGGGAGCGAACAGG